GAAUAACUAGCCAAAAUUUCGUAAGAAAAAUUUCCUUUUUCCUCUUUCCAUUCAUACCCAAUUUCUUCUUCCUCCCUCCAUUCACCUCUCUUUUACUAAAUCAACCUAUAGGCCCACACAAGCAUUAGUUAAACCACUAAUUUUAACCAAAACUUUAAUCUAAAAUCCAUUUCCCCUUGGCGAGAGCUAGUAAUUUCCUGAAAAUUGGUAAAUCCUUUCUUCCUUUCUUCUUAAUUAUUAAAGUUUAACUAGAUAUUCAUUUGUUUUAUGGUGAUUUUCUAUGGCAUAGGGAUAGGAAGGAGAUAAGUUUUAUAUUAGAUUAGUGAAUAAAGUUUUAUUUUGAAGUAAUAGGUUUAUA
rnacentral:misc_RNA from 1 species